UACGAAGGGGGCUAGCGUUGCUCGGAAUUACUGGGCGUAAAGCGCACGUAGGCGGAUUGUUAAGUCGGGGGUGAAAUCCUGGAGCUCAACUCCAGAACUGCCUUCGAUACUGGCGAUCUCGAGUUCGGGAGAGGUGAGUGGAACUGCGAGUGUAGAGGUGAAAUUCGUAGAUAUUCAAGAACACCAGUGGCGAAGGCGGCUCACUGGCCCGAUACUGACGCUGAGGUGCGAAAGCGUGGGGAGCAAACAGG
rnacentral:rRNA from 1 species